GUGAGUGAUGAAGGCUUUCGGGUCGUAAAGCUCUGUCGAGUGGGAAGAAGAAGUCCGAUGCAAAUACCAUCGGGAAUUGACGGUACCACUGAAGGAAGCACCGGCUAACUCCGUGCCAGCAGCCGCGGUAAUACGGGGGGUGCAAGCGUUAUUCGGAUUUAUUGGGCGUAAAGAGCGCGUAGGCGGCUCUAUAAGUCAGAUGUGAAAGCCCGGGGCUUAACCCCGGAAGUGCAUUUGAAACUAUAGGGCUUGAGUAUGGGAGAGGGAAGUGGAAUUCCUGGUGUAGAGGUGAAAUUCGUAGAUAUCAGGAGGAACACCGGUGGCGAAGGCGACUUCCUGGACCAAUACUGACGCUGAGGCGCGAAGGCGUGGGGAGCAAACAGGAUUAGAUACCCUGGUAGUCCACGCAGUAAACGUUGAACACUAGGUGUAGCGGGUAUUGACCCCUGCUGUGCCGCAGUUAACGCAUUAA
rnacentral:rRNA from 1 species